rnacentral:rRNA from 1 species
AUGUUGAUUCGCCGCAUCCUGCCCUGCAAAAGCCGCGCCCUCCACUUGUGGGAGUUUAAUCUGGAAGGACCACGAGCCCUCCAACAUUUUGUGGGUGCGACGCCCAUGGAGAUGUACAAAUUGUUCUUCGGAUCACAAGCAAUGUGUUCGCACUCAUCCGAGGACGCAGGUCUGAGCUGCAAUCGCCCGGAUACUCAAGAGUGGAUAGCAAAAGGAAAGCUAAUCAGGUGUCCGGCCCCCCUCCCUGAGACUACGCCGGAUCCUGUGUUAACCAGGAUGCUGGAGGUUGCGCCUUUGGAAGAAGGCGAAGAGGGGAACAAGGAAGCUACCGCCUCCCUGAAGGAGGAUGUCAAGAAAGGAGGAAUCGAGAAUUCCUCUAACCAGGGGAAGAAGAGGACCGCCUUUGAAGACCCGGAGGCCAUGGCCUCAAAGCGGGGGAAGAAAUCUUCGUCAGAGGGUCCGACGCCGGGAGGUGCCUCGGUCGCAUUGCGUCCCCAAGGGGAUCAGCUCUCCACCGAGCCUUCGGAUCUCCGCCCUUCUCAGCAGAGCUCAUCUUCAGGGGAUCUUCGUCCGGAGAUGAUGGAGAGCGGAACGCCUCCCCCUGCCGUACCGCCUUGCGAGGCGGGCGACCCUGAGGUGUCGUCACGGAGGGUUUCUCCGAAUCUGGCAGGGCAGGAAGGUAGUCGUAUGGCCUCCCAAGGCCCUCUGUGUCCGACCUUCGAAGAAGGCUAUCGGACGAGUCCGGCACCGUCCGGUGCGUGGUCGGAGGAGCUGAAGGAUCUGCUCGGGCGAGCGUCUAUCUCAGAAGAACACCGUGCGUUGAUGGAUACGAUGAUUAGAAGGGUUUCAUCCGUGGAGAGCGGGUUGUACGAGGCCGUCAGGAGUUUACUGAUAGGUUUUGAGGUACGUGAAACGAUGUACCUUUUGACGGAUCCGCAUAUAUAA